GCCCUCUCAGGAUUGCAACUGGAGAGUUUCCAGUCCUCUACCAGUCUCUACUACGGGAGGGAGAGUCAAGCAGAGGCCUGUCCGUUCCAUUCCGAGCUUGGCCUGUGGCUAGCGAAUGGGAGGCCAUCUGCUACGAGU